GUGAAUUUAGUUUAGUUGGUAGGCAUAUUGUAUUUUAUAUGCAGAGGUCGGGGUUCGAAUCCCGGACACUUCAUU
rnacentral:tRNA from 1 species